UCGAGUCGUUGAUUUCACACUGCCGAGAAAAGCCUCUAGAUAGAAAAUAGGUGCCCGUACCGCAAACCGACACAGGUAGUCAAGAUGAGAAUUCUAAGGUGAGCGAGCGAACUCUCGUUAAGGAACUCGGCAAAAUGACCCCGUAACUUCGGGAGAAGGGGUGCUCUUUAGGGUUAACGCCCAGAAGAGCCGCAGUGAAUAGGCCCAAGCGACUGUUUAUCAAAAACACAGGUCUCUGCUAAACCGUAAGGUGAUGUAUAGGGGCUGACGCCUGCCCGGUGCUGGAAGGUUAAGAGGAGUGGUUAGCUUCUGCGAAGCUACGAAUCGAAGCCCCAGUAAACGGCGGCCGUAACUAUAACGGUCCUAAGGUAGCGAAAUUCCUUGUCGGGUAAGUUCCGACCCGCACGAAAGGCGUAACGAUUUGGGCACUGUCUCAACGAGAGACUCGGUGAAAUCAUAGUACCUGUGAAGAUGCAGGUUACCCGCGACAGGACGGAAAGACCCCGUGGAGCUUUACUGUAGCCUGAUAUUGAAAUUCGGCACAGCUUGUACAGGAUAGGUAGGAGCCUUUGAAACGUGAGCGCUAGCUUACGUGGAGGCGCUGGUGGGAUACUACCCUAGCUGUGUUGGCUUUCUAACCCGCACCACUUAUCGUGGUGGGAGACAGUGUCAGGCGGGCAGUUUGACUGGGGCGGUCGCCUCCUAAAAGGUAACGGAGGCGCUCAAAGGUUCCCUCAGAAUGGUUGGAAAUCAUUCAUAGAGUGUAAAGGCAUAAGGGAGCUUGACUGCGAGACCUACAAGUCGAGCAGGGUCGAAAGACGGACUUAGUGAUCCGGUGGUUCCGCAUGGAAGGGCCAUCGCUCAACGGAUAAAAGCUACCCCGGGGAUAACAGGCUUAUCUCCCCCAAGAGUUCACAUCGACGGGGAGGUUUGGCACCUCGAUGUCGGCUCAUCGCAUCCUGGGGCUGUAGUCGGUCCCAAGGGUUGGGCUGUUCGCCCAUUAAAGCGGUACGCGAGCUGGGUUCAGAACGUCGUGAGACAGUUCGGUCCCUAUCCGUCGUGGGCGUAGGAAAUUUGAGAGGAGCUGUCCUUAGUACGAGAGGACCGGGAUGGACAUACCUCUGGUGUACCAGUUGUCGUGCCAACGGCAUAGCUGGGUAGCUAUGUGUGGACGGGAUAAGUGCUGAAAGCAUCUAAGCAUGAAGCCCCCCUCAAGAUGAGAUUUCCCAACUUCGGUUAUAAGAUCCCUCAAAGAUGAUGAGGUUAAUAGGUUCGAGGUGGAAGCAUGGUGACAUGUGGAGCUGACGAAUACUAAUCGAUCGAAGACUUAAUC
rnacentral:rRNA from 1 species